GACGAACGCUGGCGGCGUGCUUAACACAUGCAAGUCGAACGGAAAGGCCCUGCUUGUGUGGGGUGCUCGAGUGGCGAACGGGUGUGUAACAUGUGAGUAUCCUGGCCUGUGCUGUGUGAUAACUUCAGACAACUGGUGCUACUACCGGAUAGGAGCUCCUGCUGCAUGGUGGGGGUUGGAAAGUUUCGUCUGUUGGGGAUGGACUCGGGGCUUAUCAGCUUGUUGGUGGGGGAGCGGCAUACCAAGGCUUUGACGGGUAGCCGGCAUGAGAGGGUGACCGGGCACAUGGGGACUGAGGUAGGGCGCAGAGUCCAACGGGAGGCAGCAGGGGGGAGUAUGGCACAAUGGGCGGAAGCCUGAUGCGACAACGCCGCGAGCGGGAUGACGGCCUAGGGGUUGUAAACCGCUUUAGGUUGUGACGAAGCGGGAGUGACGGUAAUGGGUAAAGAAGCACCGGCUAACUACGUG
rnacentral:rRNA from 1 species